CUCCACAGCUUGCUCUCUGUCACUGGAACUCCACAUGAAGUCCGACGAUAAGAGCUUUACCAGAGUUUAUGCCAGGAAAUCUGCUCAUGCAAUCGGCACCAUGUAGGUCUGAUGCAGCAUCCAUGAACCCCUUCAUUUGAAUGAAGAUUGUAUGUUGGGGAGUAGAAAGUAUAUUUGCAAUAUGAGAUAUGAAAAUGCUGUAACCCAGGCAUGGCACUUAGUUGAUGUCUAUUACAGAAGUCCUGGACACCAAUAAGAUUGUCAAUUAUGGUGCUCUUCACCUGAACUUGGCCAAAGCAAAAGAAUGAAAUAACUUCAAGCAGAAGUUACAUCUGCAACAUGCAAAUCAAGUUUACGUGAUAUUUUACAUCGGUUUAAAAAUCAAUGUACUGAAGAGUGACCCCACCCAUAAAUUCUGCCAACACUCUGAGCUGAACUAAUUGUGCUUGCUUGGAACCUUGAAAUCAAACUGCAAUUUUUUCUGUGUAUACUGAUGCUAA